AGUGAACGCUGGCGGUAGGCCUAACACAUGCAAGUCGAGCGGAAGCACAGUAAGAGCUUGCUCUUACGGGUGGCGAGUGGCGGACGGGUGAGGCAUACAUAGGCAUCUUCUUUUUCGUGGGGGAUAACGUAGGGAAACUUACGCUAAUACCGCAUACGACCUACGGGUGAAAGCAGGAGAUCUUCGGACCUUGCGCGAUUGAAUGAGCCGAUGUCGGAUUAGCUAGUUGGCGGGGUAACGGCCCACCAAGGCAACGAUGCGUAGCUGGUCUGAGAGGAUGAUCAGCCACACUGGAACUGAGACACGGUCCAGACUCCUACGGGAGGCAGCAGUGGGGAAUAUUGGACAAUGGGCGCAAGCCUGAUCCAGCCAUACCGCGUGAGUGAAGAAGGCCUUCGGAUUGUAAAGCCCUUUUGUUGGGAAAGAAAAGCAGCAGGUUAAUACCCCGCUGUUCUGACGGUACCCAAAGAGUAAGCAACGGCUAACUUCGUG
rnacentral:rRNA from 1 species